CUAUACUUCUUCUUGCACUGCUUGUAAGACUGUCACUGCCACCACCAAUAUCUGCUGUUGAUUGCUGACACUUGCUUAGUACGCCUGUUGUAACGACUGUUCUGUACGCAACAACACUGUGUUUACUGUGCCGCGUGUACUUGUGCCGCGACCAGUGAAAUAAUGAGCAAAGAGGUAACAAGGAUCUGUGAGGAGUUGAAGCGUGAGAUAAAGCAAGACAUAAAGUUGGCUAGGGAGGGUAUGGAAAGGGAGCUACGCAACGAGUUACGAGAGUUAAAAAAUAGUAUGGACUUCUUCAACAAAAAUUUUGAAGAAUUCAGAAGUAAGAUGGAAGCCUUGUCUGUUGAGAACAGUAACUUACGGUCAGCCAAUGAAGCAUUGCAACGUGAAUGUCAUGGCAUGAAAACGCAACUAAGAGAUCUAAAUCUGAAGAGUAUCCAGCUCGAACAGUACUCCAGAAACAGAAACAUCGAAAUCAAGGGGAUACCUUUCAUACAAGGUGAAUGUAUCCCUGGUAUAUUAAAGAAGCUCGGCGAAGCAGUAGGCGAACCGAUAUGUGAAUCUGACAUUGAUGUCUGUCAUCGAGUCCCUGUAGUGAAAGGGCCUACUCAGAAUAUUGUUGUUCAGUUUUGUCGGAGGGGAAAGCGUGACACUGUCCUCGAAAGAUCAAAGAAAAAGCGUCUAACUUCCUUAGAUCUUGGCUUCGCUGACAGUCAGCCCCUGUACGUCAACGAGCACUUGUGCCCCGAUUUAAAAAAGCUACUGGGGAUGACUGUUGCUGCAAAAAAAGAAAUGAAAUGGAAAUUCGCAUGGGUGAAGCAUGGUAAGAUUUUCGCCCGGCAAGAUGAAUCAUCCCCAAUUGUUAGUAUUCUCAGUCCUGAUGACCUGUCCAAAAUGAAGUAAUUAUAGUUGCUCUCUUUGUAUCUUUUGUGUGUGCAUGGGCUGAUAGUUAUGCCGACUAGGCCAAUUGACUGUCAUUAUUAUUCCGUUGAUGAACUAGAUUGUUUCACUAAAAAUGCAUUUUCUGUUCUUCAUUUAAACGUUCGUAGCCUUCGAAGACAUCAUGAUGAUCUAGGCAAUAUGCUGUUAAGCUCCAAAUUGGCAUUUUCGGUUAUCGGAGUCACUGAGACAUGGCUAAAUGAGGCUGAAACAUCCCUUUAUCAGAUACCCGGUUAUUGCUCUGAGUUUGUUUGUCGCAAAGAAAGCCCACAUGGCGGUGCUGGUGUGUUCAUUUCUAGUGAUUUGUUGUACAUUCCGAGAAGAGAUUUAUAUAUUGCCAAUGAGAAAUAGUACAGAGGGCAUGGAGGAAAAUGAACUGCUAGCUGUAGUGCGUCCUCAAGCUGAAGCUUCAGGUCAUCCAAAGAAGCUGGAAUAUACCGGGACAUAUGCACCAGAUCUCUGCUCAGGGACUAUACAACAUCACACUGGGUGAAGAUUAAUCCUUCGAUGCAUACAUAGGCUAGGUGCAUGAUGCACCCCACAGAGGUUCUUUUCACAUUUGACAGGUCCUUUGACUCAAACAGAUACAAUCUCCUGGUCAAACACUGCACAGCUUAUGGUACACUCAGUAUCUUGCUACCUCAUCUGUUCCAUCCUGUGCCGCACAAGCAACGGUUGUGACUCGAGAAAAAAAUGAAGAGCCGCAUUCACAACAUCUCGACUGCAUCUGGAGUUACGAUGAUGGCUUCCUCUUGUGUUAACACUUCCCUUCGAAUGUGCUGGCUGCAUGGUAAUUCAGAGAAGUCUGCUUCAUCAGCAUGUGAGGACCUCACCACAGCAGUCACUGCUUCCUCUUCAAUCCUGUUAAGUAUUGAUGCCCGUGCCCCUCGUGUCUGCUGAUACGUUAUGAGCAGCAAACCAACCUUGUUCUGGUGGCAACUCCUUCCGGCUUGCUUUGCCCUUUACUCUCCACAUCGUCUUCAUCAAGCACAAGAAAUGCUGCAGACCGUCUGUUGGAUGCUGGCUUGGCUUCACACUCAAGGCUCCGAAGAUCCCCUUCGGAACCUUUCGUUCGAGACAGAGCCUCAAGCAAGACCCUGACUUUCUGGUGCGUCAAACUUGCAAAAAGGUCAUAAUGGUAUGCCCUACAUCCAGUUUGCUGAGACAAAAUUGUCAGGCCUCUACUCGCACAGUCUAGUGCCGCAGAGUAACUCUUGCACGCAAGAUGCACCUCUGACAUGUGAAGCAAGAUUCUUGCAUGAAUUCCAAGAAGUUUUCCCCAACCUCCAAUGCUUUGAGAGAUCUUUGGUGACAGUGGCAUCAAGUGGAGCUUCAAGAAGGAGAGGACAUCGACACACUCCUUCUUCAGUUUGUCACACAGUGCAUCGUGGAAUGUAACUUGAGACCCCAGUGCUGUCAGAGCCACCGAGAUGUCGCCAACAGUGAAGUAGAGGAUACAUCGAAGUAAGUUCCUCUCCAGACGCAUCUCCAUCACAUGGAAGCAGCGGCACAGGUGACACGAACACUCUUGAUCGUGAGCAGACUCAAGUUUGCACGAGGAUGGCACAGAAGGCGUUUCUCGAGACUUGUUCCUUGCCAAGAACUGGCUCGCAGCCAUACGAUGGCUCAUAACUGAUGGGGAAGACAGCUGCAACGGACAGUCAGCGGUAUCUUCACUGGAUGGCUGGAAGGCUAGCCGACUGAAUGUUCCCGCUCGAAGUAGAAGCUCUAUGCCGUUCAAUUUCACCUUUACAUCGUGUAAUUUUUCACAAAGAAGGUCCAUUUGGGUGAUAAGCAGAAUCAGUCGCCCACAGCUGCAAAAACACUUUUAUGAUGUAGUAUAAUUCAUCAUUUAACUAAGCAAGCUUGAAGCAAUACAAGGUGGUAGACUUGAAUUAGACAAACUAGUAACAAAGCAAUGUUACAAUGGUAAAAAGCAAACAACUUUCUGGGACAUAGCAUGCUACUCGAACCUCAAACAGAGGCUUUGCACAGCAGAAGUGCUGAAAAAAUAUGAAAUAAGAAAGAUAAGUCAGCAUAAGGAGAAAGAUGAGGAAGAGUUUUGACACAACACAACAGCUAACUUCACUCAUACUGACUGACUUUCAUGUUGUAGUAACAAUAAGAAUUUGUAAUUCGUACCUUGUAGAGGAAACAAGCUGCUGAGCUCGCUGCAAAUACUCCUUCAGAAAGCAGUACGCUUCUCUUGCUGCACCAAUGUUAGUGUACAAGUACCCAAGCAUGGCCGCAGAGUCCAGUAACAGUCUUUCUAACACAAACUUUGUGUGCAGGUCCUCUGUAACACAGAUUUAUCACAAAAGCUUGAGCUCUAGGCAGCAAGAUAUAUUGAGGUCAAGCAUUUCCAGUGACAGAACUGUGUUUAAGACUGGGUUUUCUCCUUAGCAAAGAUUGUUUUAGAUGCUCCGGCCUUAAUGACAAUGGAUAAUGUCAUAAAAUGUUCCUAUGAUUUGUUCCACAAUGAAAUGUGGGCAUCGGCUACAGAAUGCAGUAAUAAUCCUAUUUGAAUUCCUUCUAUUCAGCAUAAGACAAAAUACACAUCCUGUGCAUAUUCUAGAUGCCCUCAAGCACUUCUCAAUUAACACCUUUUUGCCAUCGACUGUCCAACCCACAUGUAAACUUAACAGCUAUAAUUAGAAACAAUCAUCAUAGACCUGACAUGUCUGAGAAUGGCAUUGCAUACAGAUGCUCUUCCCCUGUGCUUCGCACCAGGCAGACAUGUCGACAGUAUUUUCACAAGGCUAUUCAUACAAAAGAGAUCUGCUGUAAGGCAGUAGGUGCAGUUCCUGGUGUACACAGUGCUGCUAUUACGUUACAGUUGUACUGCGAGGAAGUGUAGACAAAUAAAUUGCAGCUAAAGUGAAUGAAAGAUAACUCACGAGGGUCUCCCUGCUUUCCUUCAGCAAGGUGCCGCAGUACACUUUGUGCUAACUUGAGUGCGUCUUGGGCUAGGUUAAUAGGCGUGUCACUCGGCUCUAUUGUAUGCUGCGUUACAGAUGCUGGUGGCAACAUUGCGAACCGACAUGCAAGGAGUUUUGCAUCUGCCAUAAACAUGUGGCAGGACUUUGUUUUCUUUUGCAGAACAGGGUGAGUGAGAAGCUUCCUCACAAGUUCUUGACCUUCUGAAAACUGAUAUUUAGCUAGAGUGAGUACAAAAAAGUACAAUAGAUUAAAAAAGAAAGAAAGAAGGAAACCUUAGCUGGUGGCAAUCAAAGCUUAAUAUUGCAACAGUGGGGCUCUAUAUACUAACAUGAUUGACAAAGAGCAUCAAUGCCACAAACCCAUCAAAAAAUCAAGCAGGAGAAGGUAACAUUCGCAGUAGGUGCACAAUUUCAUCAUCCCGAACUCAAUGUUGCGUACAUGUAGGGUUCUUCGUUUUCGGGUUAAACCCGAAUUUUCACGAUAGUUCCUCCCCAAACAAAUUUUCAAGAAUUCGGGUAAAACCUGACAGCUACCCGAAAUCCUUGCAUUCCUUCAACUUGUCUUUCUAGGUAAACCGUCGGAAAAGUGAAUAAUAAUAUCAGCAAAGAGAGCUAUUUGUGGAGCUCGGACAAGUGUUUGAAUACUGCGGUCAUUCACUGCUCCAGUUCAGAGCGGAAAUAAAGACUCUUCCCAUUGUGUCA